GUGGGGAAUAUUGGACAAUGGGCGAAAGCCUGAUCCAGCCAUGCCGCGUGAGUGAUGAAGGCCUUAGGGUUGUAAAGCUCUUUUGUCCGGGAAGAUAAUGACUGUACCGGAAGAAUAAGCCCCGGCUAACUUCGUGCCAGCAGCCGCGGUAAUACGAAGGGGGCUAGCGUUGCUCGGAAUCACUGGGCGUAAAGGGCGCGUAGGCGGACUUUUAAGUCGGAGGUGAAAGCCCAGGGCUCAACCCUGGAAUUGCCUUCGAUACUGGGAGUCUUGAGUGCGGAAGAGGUUGGUGGAACUGCGAGUGUAGAGGUGAAAUUCGUAGAUAUUCGCAAGAACACCGGUGGCGAAGGCGGCCAACUGGUCCGAAACUGACGCUGAGGCGCGAAAGCGUGGGGAGCAAACAGGAUUAGAUACCCUGGUAGUCC
rnacentral:rRNA from 1 species